AACUUUUAGCUCUCUGGCUCUGUCCCGUCCUCUUGUAGGACGAUGUGACGGUUCUAAGAGCUUUCCUGAUAGAAAGUGUUUCUUCCCUUUAUUGGGUUGGUUGCACAAUCUGUCUCUUUUACUGUGAGAAAAACAAAGUGCUCAAAGCAAGCUUUACAGCUUGAAUGCGUUAGCAUGGAAUAAUAAGAUAGGACUUUGCUUCUAUUUUGUUGGCUCUGAGAAACAAAGUAAUGGUUAAUAGGGAUAGUUGGGGGUGCUAGUAUUCAGCGGCCAGAGGUGAAAUUCUCGGAUUCGCUGAAGACUAACUUAUGCGAAAGCAUU
rnacentral:rRNA from 1 species